GGGAAGUCCCCCUGCGUUAAAUCUGCUACGCUGGGGUUGGUGCCGCUCGGUGUGCAGUUGGGGCUAAGCUGCUCGCUUCACGUGGCUUUCCUCUCUGCCUUUCCCCUUUCCCGUUUGAAGGUGAAGGUUUUAUGUGACUGAAAUGUGUUAACGCUCCCAUAAAAGUAAAUGAAACAAAAGUGGACGUUUUCUUUUUUUGGGUGCAGCUGUGAUUGGUUUGGGCCUGAUCCAGAGGCUGGAAGGGUGAUGAUUAGCAGUGCUGAAGAGAAGGACCAGGAAGCAUUUUCUGCAGGAAAAUGUCAUUUUCUGGAGCAGAACGUGACAUCUAGAAGAGCCUUCUGGAGGCGGUGGAUUCCCUGUCCCUACAGGGCACCUCGUCUGUGUGCUGGAGAUGGACACCUCUCCAAGAGCAUCUACCAGGGUCUCCAUCCUUUGCUCCUGUACCUGCAAAGGAAAG
ensembl:lncRNA